CAGUUCGGAUCGGAGUCUGCAACCCGACUCCGUGAAGCUGGAUUCGCUAGUAAUCGCGCAUCAGCCAUGGCGCGGUGAAUACGUUCCCGGGCCUUGUACACACCGCCCGUCAAGCCAUGGGAGCCGGGGGCGCCUGAAGUCCGGGACCGCGAGGGGGGAGCUGUCGAAGGCGGGGCCGGUGACCGGGGUGAAGUCGUAACAAGGUAUC
rnacentral:rRNA from 1 species